UACGGGGGGGGCAAGCGUUGUUCGGAAUUACUGGGCGUAAAGCGCUCGUAGGUGGCCAACUAAGUCAGACGUGAAAUCCCUCAGCUUAACUGGGGAACUGCGUCUGAUACUGGAUGGCUUGAGUUUGGGAGAGGGAUGCGGAAUUCCAGGUGUAGCGGUGAAAUGCGUAGAGAUCAGCAGGAACACCCGUGGCGAAGGCGGCCCCCUGGGCCGUACCUGACGCUGAGGCGCGAAGGCUAGGGGAGCGAACGGG
rnacentral:rRNA from 1 species